CCUACGGGGGGCAGCAGUGAGGAAUAUUGGUCAAUGGGCGCAAGCCUGAACCAGCCAAGUCGCGUGAGGGAUGACGGUCCUAUGGAUUGUAAACCUCUUUUGUCGGGGAGCAAGGCCCGCCACGUGUGGCGGGAAGGAGAGUACCCGAAGAAAAAGCAUCGGCUAACUCCGUGCCAGCAGCCGCGGUAAUCAGGGGGAUGCGAGCGUUAUCCGGAUUUAUUGGGUUUAAAGGGUGCGUAGGCGGAAGGUUAAGUCAGCGGUAAAAUUUCGGUGCUCAACACCGGCCGGCCGUUGAAACUGGUCGUCUUGAGUGAGCGAGAAGUAUGCGGAAUGCGUGGUGUAGCGGUGAAAUGCAUAGAUAUAACGCAGAACGCCGAUUGCGAAGGCAGCAUACCGGCGCUCAACUGACGCUGAGGCACGAAAGCGUGGGGAUCGAACAGGAUUAGAUACCCGAGUAGUC
rnacentral:rRNA from 1 species